UUUAUUUUUUUUUCCACAAAUCUUUAUAAUAACAGUUAGCCAUCGAGAGACAAUCACCAAAACUGCAAGACCUCAAGCUUUUAAAACAAGCAGUGACUGGGAGAAUGAUAAAAGAGAUGCAUCUGCACCAACAGUUAACAAUAAAAAAGGGAAGGCUAGUGAAACAAAACACGGCAAAAAGAAGGUUUAACAGGGCACACCAAAGAUGGCUGAGUUAGAAAGAUUGGGUAUAGAUAUUGGUGACAAGUGGAAAACUCUGGGAAGAUGCUUAAAAGUAUCAGAGCAACUCGAAAUAAUCGAUGCGCGAUAUAAUAUUCUUUCUGAAAAAGCCUUCUAGAUGCUUCAAUACUGGACCCAGAAAAGAGGUUCCUCUGCGACCUACA